UACGAAGGGGGGCUAGCGUUGCUCGGAAUGACUGGGCGUAAAGGGCGCGUAGGCGGUUUGUACAGUCAGGUGUGAAAUUCCCGGGCUCAACCGUGGGGGCUGCACUUGAUACGUAUGGACUGGAGUGGGGAAGAGGGUCGUGGAAUUCCCAGUGUAGAGGUGAAAUUCGUAGAUAUUGGGAAGAACACCGGUGGCGAAGGCGGCGACCUGGUCCUUGACUGACGCUGAGGAGCGAAAGCCAGGGGAGCAAACGGGG
rnacentral:rRNA from 1 species